AUGGAAAUCUAAGAUUAUUAAAAUUUUGACCGAUGAUUCAUCCUCGGAAGAACCACCAUGAGUACUUACACUCCUGAGUCGUUGAGCUAUCGAUGUAAAACGUAGCGCUGCGUGGGAGGCAACCCAUAAUUUCUUUCCUAUUUAUAUGUUAUUACAUUUUUUUCCGAUUUUUAUUUCAUGUUAUGUUAUUACAUUUUUUCCAUUAUAUUUUUAUUAUUUCUUAAAUGCAUUUUUAUUACUCUUCAAGAAGAAAAUUU
rnacentral:lncRNA from 1 species